GGUGGUUUUUGGGUGAUGCAUCCUGGAAUCAGGCUCCCUCCUCUCUGGUUCCAUGUGCCUCACCUGAGAACCACC
rfam:Myotis davidii contig43998, whole genome shotgun sequence.